rnacentral:rRNA from 1 species
AGGGAAAGAGGGGGGCAUGCUUUACACAUGCCAGUCGAACGGCAGAGCGGGCUUCGGCCUUGCGGCGAGUGGCGAACGGGUGAGUAAUGCAUCGGAACGUGCCCAGUAGUGGGGGAUAGCGUGGCGAAAGCGGGACUAAUACCGCAUACGACCUGAGGGUGAAAGUGGGGGAUCUUCAGGCCUCGCGCUAUUGGAUCAGCCGAUGUCGGAUUAGCUAGUUGGUGGGGUAAAGGCUUACCAAGGCGACGAUCCGUAGCUGGUCUGAGAGGACGACCAGCCACACUGGAACUGAGACACGGCCCAGACUCCUACGGGAGGCAGCAGUGGGGAAUUUUGGACAAUGGGCGCAACCCUGAUCCAGCCAUGCCGCGUGCGUGAAGAAGGCCUUCGGAUUGUAAAGCGCUUUUGUUCGGGAAGAAAUCCUGUGGGCUAAUACCCCGGUGUGAUGACGGUACCGGAAGAAUAAGCACCGGCUAACUACGUG